rnacentral:rRNA from 1 species
CGCCUGUUUAUUAAAAACAUUGUUUUUUAUAUAUUUAUUUAAAAUUAAAUCUGCCCAGUGAAUUUAAUUUUAAACGGCCGCAGUAUUUUGACUGUGCUAAGGUAGCAUAAUAAUUAGAUUUUUAAUUUAAAUCUAGAAUGAAUGAUUUAAUGAAGAAAAAACUUUUUUAUUUUAAUUUAUGAAUUUUAUAUUUUAGUAAAAAAGCUAAAAUUUUAAAAUAGGACGAGAAGACCCUAUAGAAUUUUAUAAUAAUAAAUAAUUUUUAUUUUUAUUAUUUUUAUUUAUUAUUUUUAUUUAUUUUGUUGGGGCGAUAAUUAAAUUUAAUUAACUUUUAUUAUUUUAAUCAUAAAUAAAUGUUUAAUUGAUCUUUUUAUAUAGAUUAAAAAAUUAAAUUACCUUAGGGAUAACAGCAUAAUUUUAUUAAAAAGUUCUUAUUUUUAAUAAUGUUUAUGACCUCGAUGUUGGAUUAAAUUAUUUUUUAUAUGGAGAUAUAUAAAAAAAAAGUCUG